UUUAAACCGAAUGAAAUUACUUUUCAGUUGAGGAAAUUGGGAAAACAAAUAUUUUAAACAAUAUAAUAAAAUAAUAUGAAAAAAGACAUGCCGCGAAAUUCGUGUUUUUUGUGCAAAACCACUACGAUGUUUUGUGUCGAAUUUACAAAAAACCAAUGGAAAAAUGCGUGUCGUACUUCAUUGCCGUCUACAGCUCACAUUUAUGGGAACCACCUUAGUCAAGACCACUUUCUGCUUCGUGCGUGAAGUGAAAGUGUUUAAGUCCAGACACAGUACCAACACCGUUUCUUCCUCAAGCGAACUCAAAAGCUGAAAACAUAUUGGAAGAACCCAGGAAUUUAGUGCCUAACAAGAAGAAAGCACCAUGUCAGCUUAUAUUAUCUAAAGGUCUCUGCUAUAGGAAAGGCUGCAGAAUUAGCAAUCGCAAAGACAUCGAACAACUCCAAAAUAAAUAUUUAGAAGCAGCAUAACAAAAAAAUAAAAUUAUCAGUAAAAUGGAACAUCCUUUUGGCAGCAACAAGAGCUAUACCAAGUUACACCGCUCAAGUUUGGGAUUUUGACCUGUUUGAUGAAAAAUUGGCUUUCCAAAAUGUCAUUUGUCUACAUUACAACUUCACCUAAGAUACAUAUAUUUAUGAGACCUUAUUUGACUAUGAUGCAAAAUCUUACUUACGACAUAUCAGAUGGGAGACUGUGAAAUACUAACAUAGAUGCACUUCUUCCAACUGUGAGCUCGACGAGCAAACAGAAAUUGAAAGAAAGAGCUUUGGAAGGUACUUGCAUAUACGAGGACCUAUAUCUAAUUUUAGAAAAAGCUAUUUCAACGCUACGGUUCAAAAUUAUAAAAUCUCUUUGAUUUUGAAGUCCAGAUGCUUCUUAUUUAUCUCGGGAUCCACAAAAAUGUAAACUGCUAUCUUUGUAAAUUAACGCAUUAGAAGGCAUACCACAGAUUUUAGGAAGGUACUCUAUUUUGAAUAUUUUUAGAAUUUGUUCAGGCGGAUGAAAUAGUCUGAUUUGGUUUGUCACUAGUGCCUUAAAAUACAAGCACUUAAUUGUA